rnacentral:rRNA from 1 species
UACGUAGGUGGCAAGCGUUGUCCGGAUUUACUGGGCGUAAAGAGCGCGCAGGCGGUCGUUCAAGUCGCGUGUGAAAGCCCCCGGCUCAACUGGGGAGGGUCACGCGAUACUGAUCGACUCGAAGGCAGGAGAGGGAAGUGGGAUUCCCGGUGUAGUGGUGAAAUGCGUAGAUAUCGGGAGGAACACCAGUGGCGAAGGCGACUUCCUGGCCUGUUCUUGACGCUGAGGCGCGAAAGCUAGGGGAGCAAACGGGG